CGAGCGAAUGGAUUAAGAGCUUGCUCUUAUGAAGUUAGCGGCGGACGGGUGAGUAACACGUGGGUAACCUGCCCAUAAGACUGGGAUAACUCCGGGAAACCGGGGCUAAUACCGGAUAACAUUUUGAACCGCAUGGUUCGAAAUUGAAAGGCGGCUUCGGCUGUCACUUAUGGAUGGACCCGCGUCGCAUUAGCUAGUUGGUGAGGUAACGGCUCACCAAGGCAACGAUGCGUAGCCGACCUGAGAGGGUGAUCGGCCACACUGGGACUGAGACACGGCCCAGACUCCUACGGGAGGCAGCAGUAGGGAAUCUUCCGCAAUGGACGAAAGUCUGACGGAGCAACGCCGCGUGAGUGAUGAAGGCUUUCGGGUCGUAAAACUCUGUUGUUAGGGAAGAACAAGUGCUAGUUGAAUAAGCUGGCACCUUGACGGUACCUAACCAGAAAGCCACGGCUAACUACGUGCCAGCAGCCGCGGUAAUACGUAGGUGGCAAGCGUUAUCCGGAAUUAUUGGGCGUAAAGCGCGCGCAGGUGGUUUCUUAAGUCUGAUGUGAAAGCCCACGGCUCAACCGUGGAGGGUCAUUGGAAACUGGGAGACUUGAGUGCAGAAGAGGAAAGUGGAAUUCCAUGUGUAGCGGUGAAAUGCGUAGAGAUAUGGAGGAACACCAGUGGCGAAGGCGACUUUCUGGUCUGUAACUGACACUGAGGCGCGAAAGCGUGGGGAGCAAACAGGAUUNNAUACCCUGGUAGUCCACGCCGUAAACGAUGAGUGCUAAGUGUUA
rnacentral:rRNA from 1 species